GACGAACGCUGGCGGCGUGCUUAACACAUGCAAGUCGAACGGAAAGGCCCUGAUUUUGUGGGGUGCUCGAGUGGCGAACGGGUGAGUAACACGUGAGUAACCUGCCCUUGACUUUGGGAUAACUUCAGGUAACUGGGGCUAAUACCGGAUAGGAGCUCCUGCUGCAUGGUGGGGGUUGGAAAGUUUCGGCGUGUGGGGAUGGACUCGCGGCUUAUCAGCUUGUUGGUGGGGUAGUGGCUUACCAAGGCUGUGACGGGUAGCCGGCCUGAGAGGGUGACCGGCCACAAUGGGACUGAGAUACGGACCAGACUGGUACGGGAGGCAGCAGGGGGGAAUAUUGCACAGUGAGCGGAAGCCUGAUGCAGCAACGCCGCGUGCGGGAUGACGGCCUUCGGGGUGUAAACAGCUUUCGCCUGUGACGAAGCGUGAGUGACGGUAAUGAGUAAAGAAGCACCGGCUAACUACGUG
rnacentral:rRNA from 1 species